GCAAGCGGAAUGGCAGCUCUGCAAUGGGGUGCAGAACACCUCACGAGCAGCCUCUCUCCUCUGUGCUGCCCUUGAACAUCUCCACACUGCUCAAGUGGAGAGGAGCAUGUAGCCCCUAGCGAGCAGCCCUUCCACACCACAGCACAACUUGCUGAACUGCGCAAGUUUUAAGCUAUAAACCACCUGAGUGAUCUUCCUGCUCGACAAGGGAUAAAGGCAGAAAAUAGCAUUAAAGAUUUAAGGCUAAAAUUUGGCAGAGCAUAAAACUCCAAGCACAGACAGACACAAUAAGAAGAGGGUGAAAAAAGAAAAGCAAGGGCUCCAAGGAUGGCACCCAGCGAUACCAUCACAUGUCAAGAGCAAACAGGAUUUUACAAAAUAUGAAAUGACGUUUUUUUUGUGUAUGUUUGAUGCUAAAA